UACCUGAGUGAUGACGAAUCCAUGGUUCCUUAUUUUGGUCGUCACUGGUGCAGUUUACUCAGGGAAAGCCCGUUCUGUUUGGCUAUAAGUUUUGGUGUGGUGCCAUAUGUCUGGGCUACAUUUGCUGGUUUCAGCCGUAUCAGGGUAAAAACCCAAAUACUAAACAUUAGGGAUAUGGUGUUGUUGAGUCACUUGUCCGUCAGCUUAGUGAGGCACUUACAGAGGCACAUCCUGGACAAUACCAUUUUGUAUUCGAUAACUUUUUCACCAGUAUUGUACUUCUUGAUAAGCUCAGUUCAAUGGGAAAUCGGGCAACAGGUACAGUGAGAAAGGAUCACAUUGAGAAAGCUCCACUGAAAUUAGAUGUAGCUCUAAAGAAAAAAGAAAGGCACAUUCCAUUAUUGAAUUGAUGGCAAAGGCAGUCUUGUCUGCAGAUGGAAUGAUAACAGUGUUGUCACUGUUGCCUCUUCUGGUGCUGGAAUCCAUCCCCCGUGUCUUGUCCAUCGUUAUUCCCAGAAUAACGAAUAACUGAAAAAGAAACCCAAGUUCAGCAGCCAAACAUGAUCAAAGUGUAUAACCAGUGCAUAGGGAGCAUAGACAGCGCUGAUGAAAACAUUGAUAAGUAUCGGGCAUCUAUCCAUGGAAAGGAAUGGCAUUCAAGCCCUCUUCUGUUCUGUUUUGAAUUGGUCUUACAAAAUGCUUGGCAAUUGUAUAAAACAUAUGAUGAGAAGCCAAUAGAUUUUCUGGAGUUUGGUUGAUGCCAUUAUCUGGAGACCCAUGGUCACCCUCCAGAACCUGGCCG
rnacentral:lncRNA from 1 species